UCUUAACAAACCGUGAAUGGAAACUAUGUAGGAAGUUUAUCUCACAGUGUGACGAUUCAGCUCUACUGCAUUUUUUUGUCCAAUUUUGAAUGCUGACGCUAGAGCGUUUUAUUAUGGCUUUUUAGUAUCAUUUAAAUUGAAGCAGGUUUUAAAGCAAUUCACCAUCAACCUCAAAUGUCAAUUUAAUUCCACACACAGCUUUCAAGAACCACUGACAGCAGGACACGAGCUCAGACAUGGAAAUUGAUUUUCCAAUGGAUUGAUUCCACCCCAGAGCUUGCACUGAUCUACAGAGAAAGAAGCUCUUGCCAGCAGCUGGGUUCUGUCAAGGGAAGCCACCCCAAGCAAAAUGUUAUUCCAGCUUGUUAGUGUUUGAAGUCACAGCAAGCUGGGCUGCAGAAGCUGCUGCCUGUGGUUUAUGGCUUGUGGGGUUGCUCAAGAUAUGGAGUCUUACUUUCCAAGUCAGGAUGUCUCACCGCCAUUGAAGCCACAACUGUAGCUCUGAGAUAACGCAGGCACGUUGAGAAGAAAGGACUUCAGAGCAGACAUGUGGUCUUGACUCAGCGCAGAAGAGGUUGGUUUUGACUAACAAGCAACGGGUGAAUGAUCACACCUGCAUCUUUGGAUGAAGACACCGAACCUCGACGGACAGAAAAAGGAUCGAGAGAGUGAGGAAACAGGUGAAGAGGAGGUGUGAACCAUAGCCUUCACCGAGGAGGAGAGUGAUCAUUUCUGCUUCUCAUCUCACUUCUCUUUGAUGUAUUCACAUGAAAGUAUCACCAAUGCAGACUGAGAACCUGCAAAUGAAGGUUUAAAUGUCUGAAAACGAAUUGUGAUAUAUUAG